AUCCUCUCAAGGCCAAUUGGCUAAGAUCAUGUGUAGUUUCUGUUCUUUAUAGCUUGACAGCUGUAAGUGCCUCAAGGGCACAUUUAUCUGUCAUACCGAUUUUUGGAGCCAAAGGAGCAGCUGGCGCAAUGCCUUUGUUCCACGGGUGUCCCUUGCACUGCAGUACCGCACGGUGACGCCCUGGUAUC
rnacentral:snRNA from 1 species